AUUGAACGCUGGCGGCAGGCCUAACACAUGCAAGUCGAACGAGUGGCGGACGGGUGAGUAAUGUCUGGGAAACUGCCUCAUGGAGGGGGAUCACUACUGGAAACGGUAGCUAAUACCGCUUACCCUACGAUGUGCCCAGAUGGGAUUAUCUAGUUGGUGGGGUAACGGCUCACCAAGGCGACGAUGCCUAGCUGGUCUGAGAGGCUGACCAGCCACACUGGAACUGAGACACGGUCCAGACUCCUACGGGAGGCAGCAGUGGGGAAUAUUGCACAAUGUGCGCAAGCCUGAUGCAGCCAUGCCGCGUGUAUGAAGAAGGCCUUCGGGUUGUAAAGUACUUUCAGCGGGGAGGCGUUACCCGCAGAAGAAGCACCGGCUAACUCCGUGCCAGCAGCCGCGGUAAUAC
rnacentral:rRNA from 1 species